rnacentral:rRNA from 1 species
ACUGAACGCUGGCGGCAGGCCUAACACAUGCAAGUCGAGCGGAUGAAGGGAGCUUGCUCCUGGAUUCAGCGGGGGACGGGUGGGUAAUGCCUAGGAACAUGCCUGUUAGUGGGGGAUAAGGUCCGGAAACGGGGGCUAAUACGGUAUAGGCCCUGAGGGCGAAAGGGGGGGAUCUUGGGACCUUCCGCUAUCAGAUGAGCCUAGGUCGGAUUAGCUAGUUGGUGGGGUAAAGGCCUACCAAGGCGACGAUCCGUAACUGGUCUGAGAGGAUGAUCAGUCACACUGGAACUGAGACACGGUCCAGACUCCUACGGGAGGCAGCAGUGGGGAAUAUUGGACAAUGUGCGAAAGCCUGAUCCAGCCAUGCCGCGUGUGUGAAGAAGGUCUUCGGAUUGUAAAGCACUUUUAGUUGGGAAGAAGAGCAGUAAGUUAAUACCUUGCUGUUUUGACGUUACCAACAGAAUAAGCACCGGCUAACUUCGUG